rnacentral:rRNA from 1 species
AAAGUCCUCCAUGGCCCUUAUAGUGGGGCGUACACACGUCAUACAAUGGAUGGUACAAAGGGGUACGGCCAACCGCAGGGGGAGCCAAUCCCAUAAAAGCCAUUCGUAGUCCGGAUCGCAGUCUGCAACUCGACUGCGUGAAGUCGGAAUCGCUAGUAAUCGUGGAUCAGAAUGUCACGGUGAAUACGUUCCCGGGUCUU